rnacentral:rRNA from 1 species
UUGAAGUCUUUUAUGACUGAGUGGCGGACGGGUGAGUAACGCGUGGGUAACCUGCCUCAUACAGGGGGAUAGCAGCUGGAAACGGCUGGUAAUACCGCAUAAGCGCACAGUACCACAUGGUACAGUGUGAAAAACUCCGGUGGUAUGAGAUGGACCCGCGUCUGAUUAGCUGGUUGGCGGGGUAACGGCCCACCAAGGCGACGAUCAGUAGCCGACCUGAGAGGGUGACCGGCCACAUUGGGACUGAGACACGGCCCAGACUCCUACGGGAGGCAGCAGUGGGGAAUAUUGCACAAUGGAGGAAACUCUGAUGCAGCGACGCCGCGUGAGUGAAGAAGUAGUUCGCUAUGUAAAGCUCUAUCAGCAGGGAAGAUAGUGACGGUACCUGACUAAGAAGCUCCGGCUAAAUACGUGCCAGCAGCCGCGGUAAUACGUAUGGAGCAAGCGUUAUCCGGAUUUACUGGGUGUAAAGGGAGUGUAGGUGGCCAGGCAAGUCAGAAGUGAAAGCCCGGGGCUCAACCCCGGGACUGCUUUUGAAACUGCAGGGCUAGAGUGCAGGAGGGGCAAGUGGAAUUCCUAGUGUAGCGGUGAAAUGCGUAGAUAUUAGGAGGAACACCAGUGGCGAAGGCGGCUUGCUGGACUGUAACUGACACUGAGGCUCGAAAGCGUGGGGAGCACACAGGAUUAGAUACCCUGGUAGUCCACGCCGUANACGAUGAAUACUAGGUGUCGGGGCACAUAAGUGCUCCGGUGCCGCAGCAAACGCAAUAAGUAUUNCACCUGGGGAGUAC